ensembl:snRNA U6 U6 spliceosomal RNA
GUGCUUGCUUCAGCAGCACAUAUACUAAAAUUGGAACACAGAGUGCAGUAACACGGCCCCUGAACAAGGAUGACAUUCAAAUUCGUGAAGCGCUCCAUAUUUUU